rnacentral:lncRNA from 1 species
GUAUCCAAAUCAUGUAACAUCUACCAAACGAUGUAACAAUUACAUGUUUUGUUUAGCCGUUAUAGAAUAGUAUUCAUGAUCGUUAUAGAAACAUAGUCAUGAGUUUGAAAUUCUCCAGUUUUUCUUUUGAUAUUAAAUUAUUACCAAAUCAUCUUCUUAAACACGAACAAUUUUAUUGUAGAACAUUCACAAGAAAAAAAAAAUUAUUAGGAUUAAAAAAGCAAUUAUCAUGAUUUAUAAAAAAAAUAAAUUGAUUAUAAAAUACAGAAAAUCAAUGGAAGAAAAGAAAGAGAGUUGGAGAAAGUUGAGUUUACGAGAGGAAACAAAAAAACUAGAGUGAAGGAGAAGAGAAGAGAAAAGUAAAAAACUGAAAAAUUAUUAAAAAAUAUAUAAAUCAAAAGACAUCUCUUGGUAACUGCAUUGUCAAGUUUAGGGAAGGUCUUUUUCAGUAAGUGGCAGUGACUCUGACACAUCUCCCUGUAGACC